ensembl:lncRNA
AGCUCUGAAUCCCCAUCGCUCCAUCCCCUUUGGGUCAGCUCUGCUCCGAGCAGAACCGUCGCUGCCAUCGGCCGCUCCGUCGAUGAGGCGGCUGUCAGCAACACGUGGCCCGAUGUCACCGUUGUCCCCGUUGUCACAGCACCCAGCGGCGUUUGCGGCAUCUCCCGCUUUCCGCUUCCCCAUCCUGGUGUGACCGACCCUUCCCCGAGCCAACGCUCGGCCUCACGGCAACUAAUUGCUUCCAGUCGUUUGCAAAACAACAGCAGGCGACGAGCAGGAAAACCCCGGGAGAGGAGAGCGGCUUUGGUGCGCUCCCAGCGCCGUCACACAGCGACGGUUUCUGCGCCCCAGGGCUGGGAGACCCACAGCUCCAUCCCCACGCAGAGCUCGGCCGGGACAUUCCUGUGCACACCGUCGCAUUUCUGGGCGUGCAAAACCGCAGCGGCUCACGCACACGCGGGUGCGAGCACACGCACGUCUGUCCCUGCACGCCCAUGGGAACGAAUGCAUCCGUGCGCCCGCAGCUCCGUCCCUGCAUGCCUCGCACACGCCCCGUGCCACACACCCACACCCUGCAGCCCCCCCCUGCAAAAGCGUCCCCUGCGGGGUGGCCCUGCUGCAGAACGCGGGCUGCUGAUGGAGCAACCUUGCACGGCCCCGCUGCUGCUCCCGGGGGGCGGUUUGCAAAACCAUGCAGGAUUUCCUGCAGGAAAACUUCGUUGCAGCACGGCGCCAAGGCGCGCGGUGCUCAGUGCGUGUGCACACCGCAGGCAGGGCCGUGCUUGUGCGACGGUGCACGCUGUGUGGGUGUGCCCGAGGGGUGUGCAAGUACGUCUGUGUGUGUGCAGAUACGUGCACGCUGCAAGGGAUGUGUGUGCACACGAGCGAGCUGCAGGGCUGUGCAUGCGUGUCACAGAGCUGUGUGUGCAGGCACACGUGUGUGCAUAGGCUCACGUCCCAAGGGGCGUGCGAGCAGCCGUGUGCGUCCAUGUGUGCCCGUUCCAAGGCUGUGUGUGCACAUACACGUGUGCAAGCUCCAGGGCUGCGCGUGCAGCUGUGUGUGCGUAUGUGGAUGUCCCAAGGGGUGUGAGUGUGCACAGAGGUGUGCGAGCUCCGCGGCUGUGUGUGUGUGUGCAUGUCCCAGGGCUGUGCAUGCGUGUGUGUGUGUGUGUAUAUGUGCACAUUCCAGGCAGUGUGCAGGCAGCUGCGUGUGGCCAUGUGUGCGUGUUCCAAGGGCCGCGCGUGCACAGACACGCGUGCAAGGCCCACUGUGUGUGUGUGUGUGUGGUGGGGGGGUGAGGGGGGAGGCGCGCACACACGCACAUGCGCG